UUUAAUAACAGAUUGGUUGAAAAAUGACUAAUAUCAUUGGUUAAGCAAAUGUUAACUAAGAGAUUGGUAACUGACGCAGGUCUGACGCUCAACGUCAAGUACGUAACUCUGCUUCUCAAUUUUCUGACAAAGCCGCCAUCUUGGUGCUGCAGGAAAGCCGUUUGAGAUAUUGGUGGAAUUCAAACACUUUGUGAGAUGACAGAAUAUUGCUGAAGGAUCCUACAUGGAAGCUGGCUGAUUACACGGAGUGAUUCCUCUGGUGUGGUGUACCUCAGAGAAAUAAACACUGUUGCAAGAGCUGAGAAGAUGGCCAAGAUAUCCUUAUUGCUGGAUGGUAGCUCUGGUCGUAGUGGACCAUAUCUGCAAAUGCUUCUGAACAUUGACAGAAUUUCUAAAGAUGACUGAGAAUAUUACUGAAGGAUCCUACAUGGAAGCUGUCUGAUUACACUGAGUGAUUCCUCUGGUGUGGUGUACCUCAGAGAAAAUAAACACUGUUGCAAGAGCUCAGAAGAUAUCCUUAUUGCUGGAUGGUUGCUCUCUGGUCGUACUUGAGCCCCCUGGACCAUGUCUGCAAAUGCUUCUGAACAUUGACAGAAUUUCUAAAGGAUCGCUGAGGACUCCCCCUCCAUGCGUGACAUCUUUGAGAAAUUUCCACGCUUUCUGGAGAUGCCAAGUUUGACUGGAACCAACUUUGCAUCCCUCGGCACUGACACUGAGAAGGUUUCAAGGACCCCACUACUAGGAGGCGAGAGUUUGACACGGCAGUGUCAUCACUGCCAUGGAUGACAAUGUAACCAUUCCUGUUGCUGAUUGCCUGACUUGCGCAGUGACAAGCUUUUCAUGCUCUACUGGGUGUGUAACUUGGCAUAUCCACCACAGUUUAACUCUGUUUUUGCCUCUUUUGAAU